rnacentral:lncRNA from 1 species
GCAAAGGACGAAGUGAAACUCGAUCCUCCAGCAGGCGCGGAAGAAGACUCCAUCUCCAAACCAGCAGGAUCUGUGCUGACACAGAAUAAGGUCACGAACCGGCAACGGCUGGCGAACUUCUCCACUGCCAUGGAGUCAAUCCAGGCUGACGUAGAGCCCAUUGAUCACGACGAGGACGUUCCAACCGGUGGCAUCCCAGCGAAGAACUCCAAAGGAGAGCGACUACUCUUGUUCAUUGGAGUCAUUGACAUUCUUCAGAGCUACCGGCUCUUGAAGAAGUUGGAAC